UAGUAAGCACUUGAACUGUAUGACUUGAGUGCAGAAGAGGUAAGCGGAAUUCUAGUGUAGCGGUGAAUGGGUAGAUAUUAGGAGGAACACCGGUGGCGAAGGCGGCUACUGACUGUACUGACGCUGAGUCACGAAAGCGUGGGUAGCAAACAGGAUUAGAUACCCUGGUAGUCACCGCUGUAAACGAUGAGUGCUAGUGUUGGGUAGCGAUAUUCAGUGCCGGAGUAAACACAAUUAAGCACUCCGCCUUGGGGAGUACGGUCGCAAGACUGAAACUCAAAGGAAUUGACGGGGACCCGCACAAGCAGCAGAGCAUGUGGUUUAAUUCGAAGCAACGCGAAGAACCUUACCAAGGCUUGAUAUCCCCUUGACAGAUGCAGAGAUGUAUCCUCCUCUUUUGAGGCAAGAGAGACAGGUGGUGCAUGGUUGUCGUCAGCUCGUGUCGUGAGAUGUUGGGUUAAGUCCCGCAACGAGCGCAACCCUUAUCCUUAGUUGCCAGCACAUAUGGUGGGCACUCUAAGGAGACUGCCGGUGAUAAACCGGAGGAAGGUGGGGAUGACGUCAAAUCAUCAUGCCCCUUAUGUCUUGGGCUACACACGUGCUACAAUGGUCGGUACAACGGGCAGCUAUGGAGCGAUCCGGAGCAAAUCCCAAUAAACCGAUCCCAGUUCGGAUUGCAGGCUGCAACUCGC
rnacentral:rRNA from 1 species